rnacentral:lncRNA from 1 species
GAAUGUUUAAAAAUUUUUAGGAACAACUUUCACUUGAAUUUUAAACUUGUAUUUUAUACAUGCAAGACAAAACACUAUGUAUACUCCACAAUAAAAAAUAAUUCACACUUUAUUUCAGAAUUGCAUUUGACCCAAAUGUAACAGUUCAAGAUUCAUGAUCAGAAGAAAUAUGUAACUAAUUCACAAAGGUAGUGUCAUACAAACUGAAAUGGAGAUACAAUCCUGAUAGAAGAUUACACAAGAUACCAGGCAUUAUUGUGUCAAAUUAGCACUGAUGAUUUACCCAUAGCAGUAUGAACUUCUUGGAGGAAGGAAAGAAAAGUACAACAGCUUCUUCAGAGAAAAGAACAAAUUGGCAUAGGAAAGAAGAAAGACACUUCGUUUAAAGAAUGUAUUUUGCAGUAAAUGCCCACAAACAGCCCAUAGAGAGUUCACUUAUUUAUGCAUCACCAUAUGAUUAUUCUGACUGCCUUUAGUCUCAAACAGGGAAAGCCUCCGCAAAAAGCAUUCUCCAGGUGUUAGUUUAGGUUUGUCAUUAUUUCCUAUUUAUAGACUCUGUCUAGUAAAAGAAGACAAAUUACUGUAAGUGGGGGUAAAUGUGAUUAAACGAGUCCUCUGAAGAUAAGAAGUUACAUGGACAAGGGUCAUUAACACAAAUGACCUCUUUUUGCCAGAACAUAUUUUUUUAAUUUAGUGGAUUUGAAAAAAACUGCAAAGCAAGAAUAAUCUCUACUGCACAUACUCACAGAGAAACAUAUCCCUUUUAUUCUAAUAAAUAUUUUCAUGACUCUUCAGUAUUUUAAUAACAUACUGAUAAUGCCAAAAUACUCUCAGAAUACACCAAGAACAAUAUUGGAGGGAUCAUUUAUCUUAAGGAGUCUAAUCGGAAACACUUAAGCAACAUAGUUAUAAUCAGACAAGACAUAUAACACCAAGAAUGUAAGUUAGUGGAAACAAGAUCAUGGGAAUCAAAUGGAAAGCUGAAAUUUGUAAAGUUUCAAUUAAAACAUCUACACUCUUUCUUUCACCUGAUCGUAGCCCCAUAUGGCAAGGUCAGCCCUUUCAGUGAACAAACAGCUCAGUCGCCUCCAGUGUAGCUGUUAUCUUCCUCAACAAGGGGAGACAUUUGGCACAGCCUAAAGCUGGGGCAUGAACCCUGGCUAAGCUUAAGACAUUUAUCUGACAGCAUCAGCUGACACUCCACAAACACAUUUGCUCUCCAUGACCUCAGAGCAUUCGUGAUUAAUCAAAAAUGUAUCUUGGAUCUUGAGAACAAGCUACAACCAGGCACACACAAAAAAGAAUAUGCUCUCGAUCUCACUUAUCGACUCAAGAGGUAUAUUGAAUUUAGAAAUAGCAAAUAGAAUAAAAUGAUCAAUAUGUUCUCACUUGUCCAUGGAAGAGCAAACUUUAUCCCUCAAGCCAAAGACAUUGAUCAUGUAAAUGUUUCAGAACUGCUUUCAGACUCAAUAAUGCAAAAUGCACAUGGUUUAUUGGGGGUAGAGAAGGAGGCCUGCCAAAGAGGAGCUUUUGCUUUAACUUAAAAAAAUAUAUAGCUUGAAGACAUAAAGCAUUAUGCUUGUAGUGUGCUAUAUUUUUUUACAAACUGUGUGUUCAGCCUAAAACCUUUUUUGGUAACAUGUUGCUGAAUGUUCUCAAUAAAGCAUUAUAAAGGAGACUUUAAAACUUAAUGAAGGAACAUUAUUUGUGCAGAGAAAACUCCCUGUCUUAAUUUAAAUGAGACACAGUUAUAACAUAUCCCCUAUGCACUGUUUACAAUUUAUAAUUUAUAAUUUAUGUCUCUUGGUUCAAACUCACUAUUUUCUAAGUAAUGAUUAACAUGUGAAUACUGUAAUAUUCUGCUUCUCAACCAGUACAGUUUAGUAUAUUUUCAUUUUCAUUUGUACUUUUCACUUUCUAAUAACAAUACUGAAUGCUAAUUAAAGGAAUGGGAACCAGAAGUCAUAUGCCCCACCCUUGAUAAUAUGAAAAUGAUUAUUAUUAAAACAAACCUCUACAGUUGAACUUAUUAAAUCUCAUACUUGCCUGAUUACCCACUGGCUAGGUUACAGUUGUUCACGAUCCUACAGCAGAUCAUUCUACUAAAGAAAAACUACAUGUCCUGGUCCCUGUUGGCAUGGCAAACAAACUUUCAUAGCAUGUGCUCACUCUAUAAAAUAGUGAUACUAAUUAGAAGAUAUAAACUCAUGCUGAGAUAUGAUAUGAAUUGGCUUUAUGUAUCUACUAAGCUCACAGCAGUACUAGAUUUAUACUGUUGUUGCUUUAAACUAACACUAAACAGAAAAUUCAACUUCUAAAUAUGUAUA